GUGCCCUUUUAAGGCUGAUUCAGUACUUUAAUUGGUUAACACAAAAGGGUAAUGUAACUCUCCACAAAAUCUAGGGAAGAGAAAGUCUUCUUUGGAUCCUGUCUGGAGUUACAGAU
rfam:Erinaceus europaeus unplaced genomic scaffold scaffold00114, whole genome shotgun sequence